rnacentral:rRNA from 1 species
GACGAACGCUGGCGGCGUGCCUAAUACAUGCAAGUCGAGCGAAGGCGGAUGGGGGAGUAACGCGUGGGUAAACUGCCACUAAGUCUGGGGUACCAUUUGGAAACAGAUGCUAAUACCGGAUACGAAAGGAUGGGGCUGCGAUGCAUUAGCGAGUGGGUAAGGUAACUGCUUACCAAGGCGCGUAUGCAUAGCCGGGUUGAGAGACUGAUCGGCCACAUUGGGACUGAGACACGGCCCAAACUCCUACGGUAGGCAGCAGUAGGGAAUCUUCCACAAUGGACGAAAGUCUGAUAGAGCAACGCCGCGUGAGUGAAGAAGGUUUUCGGAUCGUAAAGCUCUGUUGUUGGUGAAGCGGUAAUCAACCAGAAAGUCACGGCUAACUACGUGCCAGCCGCCGCGGUAAUAC